rnacentral:rRNA from 1 species
ACAGUGGACGCGAGCAUCUGUGGCCAAGUUUUUAAGGGCGCACGGUGGAUGCCUUGGCACCAGGAACCGAUGAAGGACGUGGGAGGCCACGAUAGUCCCCGGGGAGCUGUCAACCAAGCUUUGAUCCGGGGGUUUCCGAAUGGGGAAACCCGGCAGUCGUCAUGGGCUGUCACCCGCUGCUGAACACAUAGGCAGUGUGGAGGGAACGAGGGGAAGUGAAACAUCUCAGUACCCUCAGGAAGAGAAAACAACCGUGAUUCCGGGAGUAGUGGCGAGCGAAACUGGAUGAGGCCAAACCGUAUGCGUGUGAUACCCGGCAGGGGUUGCGCAUGCGGGGUUGUGGGAUCUCUCUUUCACAGUCUGCCGGCUGUGAGGCGAGUCAGAAACCGUUGGUGUAGGCGAAGGACAUGCGAAAGGUCCGGCGUAGAGGGUAAGACCCCCGUAGCUGAAACAUCAACGGCUCGUUUGAGAGACACCCAAGUAGCACGGGGCCCGAGAAAUCCCGUGUGAAUCUGGCGGGACCACCCGCUAAGCCUAAAUAUUCCCUGGUGACCGAUAGCGGAUAGUACCGUGAGGGAAUGGUGAAAAGUACCGCGGGAGCGGAGUGAAAUAGU